CUUGCCUGAAUCCCCGAGGAGGGAGGAGGGAGAGGAGGAAGGCGGGGGAGCGAGGCAGAGGGGGGUGGGGGAGCGCAGCCGCGGCAGCUAGCGGUCCGUCUCGCACGCGCGGGCACCGCGCCGGUCCGGGGCUGCAGGUUUCCCAGAUGAUGGCAUCCGAGAACUUAAACAAAGGGGGCCGCCGCCGGAGCGCAGCGGCUGCGGAAAGUUGCGGUGGCGGAUUUCCAAGGAGCGUGGCCACGACCCGAGCUCUUGGCGCGGCGAGCAACCCCCUUCCCACCCUCGCCGAGACAGAGAUGGGGGCCUGCUGGUGAAGGAAAAAGGAAACUUUGAAACCACUGGGGACACAUCUGUCUAUAGGUCAAGCCCCUCAGAGUUGCUGCAGACCCAGGCAUCCACCUGUCUGCACCCACCCUGCCAGGCCUUCUAGCCCCCUCACCACCCGCCUCUCCAGUUGCCCAGAGCAGACAGUCUGCCAAAGCUGGUGCAAGCCCUCAGGCCAGGCCUGCAGUGCCCUCUGCAACUCCCGCCACCGUUGCUGGCCUGGCCUGGCCGGGGCUGGGCUGGGGCUGCCACCUCACAAAUGGACCCUUCGGUGGGGCCUGCUCAGAAAUUCCAGCCAGCCAGCCCAGCAUGGCAGAGAGGGCUGGAGGCCUUGAGUGACACAAGCGCCUACCCCUGGCUACAUACAAGUGCAAAUGAGAUGCAUGCUGGCUGAUCAGUCCACUGUAUUUUAUGCAACUUAAUGUGUCUAUGUCUUGUCAACUCUACUUGUCAGGAAGAAUAGCAAAAAAUUUUAAAAAGAGUUUUUUGUGUGUGUGAUUUCCAACUGCAAUUGCAUCCAGGGAGAUGGGGUGAGAGUGGGGACAGGACGGCUCGCUGACACAAACAACAGUUUAUAAACCCUCCUAAAAUGCGAACUUAAGCCACAAAGAAGAAACGAAAAAGAGGUGGGGGUGGGCUGUGGUUGCUGACAAGAAACCUUGACAAAACUAGGUGGAUUCUGGCUGGGAAAAGUUUAAAGCCAUAACACAUUUUUUUUAAGAAACAAAAUUCAUUUGUAUUUACUUGGGUG
rnacentral:lncRNA from 1 species